rnacentral:rRNA from 4 species
AAAAUGACUCUCGGCAACGGAUAUCUCGGCUCUCGCAUCGAUGAAGAACGUAGCGAAAUGCGAUACUUGGUGUGAAUUGCAGAAUCCCGUGAACCAUCGAGUCUUUGAACGCAAGUUGCGCCCGAAGCCGUCAGGCCGAGGGCACGUCUGCCUGGGCGUCACGC